GGGUUGUGAGGUUAAGCGACUAAGCGUACACGGUGGAUGCCCUGGCAGUCAGAGGCGAUGAAGGACGUGCUAAUCUGCGAUAAGCGUCGGUAAGGUGAUAUGAACCGUUAUAACCGGCGAUUUCCGAAUGGGGAAACCCAGUGUGAUUCGUUACACUAUCAUUAACUGAAUC
rnacentral:rRNA from 1 species